UUGGCUUAGAAGCAGCCAUCCUUGAAAGAGUGCGUAAUAGCUCACUGGUCAAGUGAUUCCGCGCCGAUAAUGUAGCGGGGCUUAAGUUAUCCGCCGAAGCUGUGGCAACCUGUGUGGUUGGGUAGGGGAGCGUCGUGUCAGUGGUGAAGCUGCCGGGUGACUGUGUGGUGGAGUUGAUGCGAGUGAGAAUGCAGGCAUGAGUAGCGUGUGACGGGUGGGAAUCCCGUCCGCCGAUUAUCCAAGGGUUCCAGGGUCAAGUUUGUCUGCCCUGGGUGAGUCGGGUCCUAAGGCGAGGCCGACAGGCGUAGUCGAUGGGUAACCAGUUGAUAUUCUGGUACCGGCUUGUCACCGUCCGUGUCGAGGUGUGUGAUGCUAAGCAUGUG
rnacentral:rRNA from 11 species